rnacentral:rRNA from 1 species
UACGUAGGGUGCGAGCGUUAAUCGGAAUUACUGGGCGUAAAGCGUGCGUAGGCGGUUCGUUAAGUUCGUUGUGAAAGCCCCGGGCUCAACCUGGGAAUGGCAAUGGAAACUGGCGGGCUGGAGUAUGGCAGAGGGGGGUGGAAUUUCCGGUGUAGCGGUGAAAUGCGUAGAGAUCGGAAGGAACGUCAAUGGCGAAGGCAGCCACCUGGCAUCAUACUGACGCUGAGGCGCGAAAGCGUGGGGAGCGAACAGG